rnacentral:rRNA from 1 species
GACGAACGCUGGCGGCGUGCUUAACACAUGCAAGUCGAACGAAGUGGCGAACGGGUGAGUAAUACGUUAGUAACCUGCCCUCCUUUUUGGGAUAAGCCUUGGACACGGGGUCUAAUACCGAAUAAAGGGGGAUGGGCUCGCGGCCUAUCAGCUUGUUGGUGGGGUGAUGGCGUACCAAGGCGGUGACGGGUAGCCAGCCUGGGAGGGUGACCGGGCACGUUGGGACUGAGAUACGGCCCAGGGGCCUACGGGAGGGAGCAGUGGGGGAUAUUGCACAAUGGGCGAAAGCCUGAUGCAGCGACGCCGCGUGGGGGAUUAAGGCUGUCGGGUUGUAAACCUCUUUCGCUACCGAACGGGUAGGUGGAGAAGAAGCGCCGGCUAACUACGUGCCAGCCGCCGCGGUAAUUC